UUGUCAAGCUGUGAGAAUGCUAUAAGCAAUGACUAAAAUGUUCCACUUGAGAAUAACACAAUGACACAGAUCUGAAAUCUCAGAACUAAAGAGUCAAAGCUUGAGGAAUCUGUCAUUUGAAGCCAGUCUACACAGUAAGCCCUUGGGCUCCACUGCCAAAGGAACUUGAUUGGCCUAUCAGUGGGAGUGCCUAUCACAACCUCUCCUUAAGUUCUCUCAGUACCAAGACAGCCUCCAGAUCCCUGUAGGAAUGACCCAACCAUAAAAAUGUACUCGCCUGGAAGCCAGAGUAUCAGCUUGCACCAGGUGAAGCAAAACCAGAACCUGCAAGCCUCAUGAACUUGGAAACCUACCAAAUCACUUCACUCGAUCAACCCAGUACUUGUAGGUGUCAAGAGUUCCAAUUAAGGGUCCAGCCCAACCACCAACCUGGCAGCAAGAAAGAAGGGUCCUUUGUAAGAAUGUACAGCUGGCCUUGUCACUAGCAGAAUCAAUGAUCCUGACAUUUGCCAAGCCCAGGACACUGAAUUACAAUAGAGUCAAUGGAAAGAGGCAUGUAUGAAAGACAUGGAUGCUUCUUAAAAACUGUGACA